GAGCCGCGCAAGCGGUCUUUGGGAAGAGCGGGAGAGGGCAACGCCGAGGGAAGUCCAACGGGAUUUCAGCACCCGACCAGAUGGAAGGUCAGUCGGCGACGCCGUGGAUGGCGUCCCAACAGCAGCAAACAUCGAGCUUGCAGGCAGGGCAGUCGACCGCGGAGGGGGCUUCACGGCACUCCUCCUGGGCGCAGCCGCAGUCUGCACAGCGCAUAACAAAUCUCGCUGCCAUGAUGGGGACGCCAUCGCUUCGUCUAAUACGACUUUCAUCUGAUUGGAAACGCAGGUUCGGUCAGGCAUCACCGCGGAUGGCAUGCGCAGAUUCAGGGAGGGCGCGCCUCAGAGGUGCGCGAGGAUAGGAUACACGGCGAGCAGCAUUAUCGCCAGCAUGGCGACGAUGAGGACCGCCGCGGCCAGGGCAAAGAACUUGCUCGUCCUGUCCAUGCGCGUCUCGCCAGCGCGGCACCCAAUAAACCCUGGGUAUGCGCAGGUCAAACAUCCCGGAUGCCACCGUUAAAGAGGUCCGGCCGUUCCGUUGUGACCCCGUAACGACUGAGCGCGCAGAAGUGUGCGUAAUGAGAUGGCCACGCGGCUAGCUCGAGCAUCGUCCCCUGGGAGACCGGGGGGCACACGAAUCGUUCCGACGGUUCGCGACACAAGUCUCGGGUGUGCCACACAAAACGCGGCCAUCAUACGCCGACCCCACGAGUGCUCGUGGGUGAAGACAUAGUCUAACUCCGGGCGUAAGCCUGGGUAUAGUUGCGAUGUCGGCUCUUCCCAUCCUGGUCCUGCAGCAGGGGCCAAGGGUGGGGCUGCUCGCCCAUCAAAGGGGAACGUGAGCUGGGUUUAGACCGUCGUGAGACAGGUCGGCCUCUACCUGAUGGAAGCGGUGGUUCACUGAGGGGAAGCCCUGCCCAGUACGAGAGGAACAGCGGGGCGUUGCCUCUGGCGUACCGGUCGUCCGAGAGGGCGUCGCCGGGCAGCUAAGCAAUUGUGGAUAACCGCUGAAAGCAUCUAAGCGGGAAGCCACUCCCGAGAAGAGUGAGCCUUGGACCCAAGCUACCUCCGCAAGGGGGUGGGGCGGGUCCAGAAGGGCGGCCAUAGAAGAUGGCGUUGAAAUGGUGGGGGUGUACGCUGGAAGCUUCGGCGACCAGUUCAGCCCGUCCACUAAUUACAGCCCAACGCUUGGAUGAG
rnacentral:rRNA from 1 species